UACGUAGGGUGCGAGCGUUAAUCGGAAUUACUGGGCGUAAAGCGUACGCAGGCGGUUUUCCAAGACAGAUGUGAAAUCCCCCGGGCUCAACCUGGGAAUGGCAUUUGUGACUGGAAGGCUAGAGUGUGUCAGAGGGGGGUAGAAUUCCACGUGUAGCAGUGAAAUGCGUAGAGAUGUGGAGGAAUACCGAUGGCGAAGGCAGCCCCCUGGGAUAACACUGACGCUCAUGCACGAAAGCGUGGGGAGCAAACAGG
rnacentral:rRNA from 1 species